GACAGAGGCCUCAAGCGUUAGGCGGAAUCACUGGGCUUAAAGCGUGUGUAGGCGGAUCGUUAAGUGUCUUGUGAAAUCCCACGGCUCACCCGUGGAACUGCUGGGCAUACUGGCGAUCUUGGGCCAACUAGGGGCAACUGGAACAAGCGGUGGAGCGGUGAAAUGCGUAGAUAAUCGCUUGGAACGCCAAAGGGUGAAAACAGGUUGCUGGGGUU
rnacentral:rRNA from 1 species